rnacentral:misc_RNA from 1 species
GAUGAAGAACGCAGCGAAAUGCGAUAAGUAAUGUGAAUUGCAGAAUUCAGUGAAUCAUCGAAUCUUUGAACGCACCUUGCGCUCCUUGGUAUUCCAAAGAGCAUGCCUGUUUGAGUAUCAUUAAAUUAUCAACUGUACCAAUUUGGUUGCAGAUUGGAUGUGGGAGAUUUUGCAGGCUUUUGAUUUCUCUUUGAGAAAACGGUCAGCUCUCCUGAAAUAUAUUAGCAGUGCCUUUGUUGGUUCAUUAGGUGUGAUAAUUUAUCUACAUCUUCACAUGGUACCUUCAUUUGUGUAAAGGUCAUAUUGCUUCUAAUUGUCUUUGGACAUAAAUAAAAAAAAACAUAUAAUUGUAUGGAAAACUUGAUCUCAAAUCAGGCAGGACUACCCGCUGAACUUAAGCAUAUCAAUAAGCGGAGGA